CCUACGGGAGGCAGCAGUGGGGAAUAUUGCACAAUGGGCGAAAGCCUGAUGCAGCAACGCCGCGUGAGGGACGACGGCCUUCGGGUUGUAAACCUCUUUUAGUAGGGAAGAAGCGAAAGUGACGGUACCUGCAGAAAAAGCACCGGCUAACUACGUGCCAGCAGCCGCGGUAAUACGUAGG
rnacentral:rRNA from 1 species